AAUCUGGUUGGAUGGUCUGCCUUCACGGUACGUACUUUCCGGCCGGAUUCUACCUCUUGGUGAGCCAGCAUGCCCUUUACUGGGUGUGUUGGGGAACCAGGACUUUUACCUUGAGAAAAUUAGAGUGUUCAAAGCAGGCUUACGCUGUGAAUACAUUAGCAUGGAAUAAUAGAAUAGGAC
rnacentral:rRNA from 1 species